ensembl:lncRNA
AUGACUCGUCAAUUAUUUCAGUUGAGCCAGGCUCCUCUGCUCUCCUUCCUUGAGAACAGGGCAGAGGGACCUGGCCAGCCUCCGCUCCCUGCUGAGCUCUAUUUUUCUUCUGACAGAAUGCCACGUCUUGUCCAAGGGAUUUCUGUGUUUCUUUCUCCUUUCCGUGACUCUCCUCCUGGCUCUUCUACCUUGUGUCUCGGGAGCAGCCCCAGGUUGUCUGGAUGGCAGGUUCACCCACUCAUCCAUUCCUUCAGGCUUGUGGGACAACUGAGUGAUCUAUGUUUGGCAUCUUAUCUUAUGGAGGACUUUACCAAGGCCAUAUUUUGCCUAACAAGAGAAUAACAUCCAAUAUGCUGUGGAUCACUUGCUAAUUCACUUUUUAGUUCUCUUCAUAUACUUCCACCCACACACACCAUGUAUAAUGUAUGCAUUCUUUUUUUUCCCCCAAAGAUUUAUUUAUUCACUUGAAAGUCAGAGUUACACAGAGAGAGAAGGAGAGGCAGAGAGCGAGAGAAAGGUCCUCUAUCCACUGGUUCACUCCCCAGUUGGUCACAACAGCUGGAGCUAAGCUGAUCUGAAGCCAGGAACCAAGAUCUUCCUCCAGAUCUCCCUUGCGGGUGCAGGGCCUCAAGGACUUGGGCCAUGUUCCAUUGCUUUCCCAGGCCAUUACAGAAAGCUGGAUCAGAAAUGGAGCAGCUGGGACCCAAAGCAGAGCGUAAAUGAGAUGCCGGCACUAGGGCUUUACCCUUUAUGCCACAGUGCCGGCCCCAAUGUAUGCAUUCUAUUUAAUGUGUUAUAUAGAUUCCAUAAAAUGUAUAGGAUAUUUGUUCAAGGAUCUUAAGUGUGUGUAUGGUUGUCCCAGUGAAAUUUGAGGAUGAAAGAAAUAUUUUGGAACAAUUCACCAAUGAUGCUAAAAGGUGUUUUAUUCAAUCAGGUUCUUUAGAACUCAUUGUUGGGCCAUAUCACAUUGCCCACUAAAUCUAGGUGAUCCUUUCCCCUACCAUUCCAUUCCCUUCCCUUCGAAAUCAUUACUUUAUUAGAGUGUCGGAGGGUUGGGAAUAGGGGUAUGUUUUACCCCUGUUUCUGUGAGAUCCAGAAAAGGACUGUUUCUUGUGAAAUUUGAUCCAAGGCCCCAAGUCACUGUUGUUCAACUCUGCUACCUCCUCCUCCCCCCACUGGAACUCCAGGACCUGCGUCCAUGCCCCGCUGAUUUGCUGGGCCUCUUCCUGCUGCACUUUGCCCUCUGCCCUCUUAGCUUUGAAAACAGAGGAGUCUUUUCUGCCUUGCCAUUUGCCCCCAGGUGCUAUGAAGUACUUAAUUCUCCCUAGUUGUUCCCUUCUGAGGGUUACCAUCUUGCCUAUUUUCUGAACUGCCAGCCUGAAGACAUCAGAGAAAGGAAAAAGUUCUUCAUUUAAAAACAUGAUCAAGGGGCCAGUGUUGUGGCCAGCAGGUUAAGCCCUUGGGCCCCUGCCACACACAUGGAAGACCCAGAUGGAGUUCCUGGCUCCUGGCUUCAGCCUGGCCCAGCCCCAAAUGUUGCAGUGGAUGGAAGAUUCUGUCUCUCUCUCUCUUCCCUUCUCCCCUCUUCCACUCCCCCUCUCUCCCCACAAUGCUGCCUUUCAAAUAAGUAAAAUAAAUCUUCAAAACCAAAAAAACCA